GACGGCCAUAUUACGUUGAAACACCGGAGCUCGUCAGAUCACCAAAUUUAAGCAACGCUGAGUCUUCUUAGGACCCAGAUGGGUGAUCGCUUGGGAAUAUCAGGUACUGUAA